rnacentral:tRNA from 1 species
GUCCCUGUAGCGCAAUGGAUUGCGCGUUGGACUUCUAUUUCAAAGGUCGUGGGUUCGAAUCCUACCUGGGAUG